rnacentral:ncRNA from 1 species
AUCUUUGGGGCGGGGUGAGAUUCCCCACCGGCGGUAAAGCCCGCGAGCUCGUUGCUGGAUGAGCAUGAUUCGGUGAGAUUCCGAAGCCGACAGUAAAGUCUGGAUGAGAAAAGAU